GACCCCAGGUCAGGCGAGACCACCCGCUGAGUUUAAGCAUAUUAAUAAGCGGAGGAAAAGAAACUUACAAGGAUUCCCUUAGUAACGGCGAGCGAACCGGGAACAGCCCAGCUUGAAAAUCGUUAGGCACUGCCUUUCGAAUUGUAGUCUGUAGAAGCGUCCUCAGCGGCGGACCGAGCACAAGUCCCCUGGAAGGGGGCGCCGGAGAGGGUGAGAGCCCCGUUGUGCGCGGACCCUGCUGCUUCACGAGGCGCUGUCGGCGAGUCGGGUUGUUUGGGA
rnacentral:rRNA from 1 species